GCGUAGCGUUCCCUGGGUUUGGGACAGACGAGGCAUUUUGGAGCUUCCAGUCGGAGCUCGAGGGCUGAACACGGAGGCCAGGCUCUCCCCAGGAGGACAGACUGACAGCGAGGAAGAUCCCUGGUGAGAGGAAGAUGAAGGUCCUGCUGGUGCUGAUGAUGAUGUUUGCCUUCUGUGUAUUCACAGCUCACGGGAAGCACCCACGCACGUUCACACCAGGACUCGAGGGAAGCACCGUAGGAAACCUGACUGCCCACGGAUGCUACUCGGGAUUGGGCACCUCGAGGGCUUCAGUGGAUCGGUGCUGCCUGCUCCGAGCCUGCUGCUAUGCCAAGCUGGCAGCGCGGCGGUGCCGCCUGGGACCCGCGCAGCCCCUCUCUGUGCCCCGGGCAGGGAUCCCCACCUGCAG